rnacentral:rRNA from 1 species
GUAGGUGGCAAGCGUUGUCCGGAAUUAUUGGGCGUAAAGCGCGCGCAGGCGGUUCUUUAAGUCUGAUGUGAAAGCCCACGGGCUCAACCGUGGAGGGUCAUUGGAAACUGGAGAACUUGAGUACAGAAGAGGAAAGCGGAAUUCCACGUGUAGCGGUGAAAUGCGUAGAGAUGUGGAGGAACACCAGUGGCGAAGGCGGCUUUCUGGUCUGUAACUGACGCUGAGGCGCGAAAGCGUGGGGAGCAAACAGGACUAGAUACCUUGGUAGUCCACGCCGUAAACGAUGAGUGCUAAGUGUUAGGGGGUUUCCGCCCCUUAGUGCUGCAGCUAACGCAUUAGGCACUCCGCCUGGGGAGUACGGCCGCAAAGGCUG